rnacentral:rRNA from 1 species
AACGAACGCUGGCGGCAUGGAUUAGGCAUGCAAGUCGAACGCUUGUAGCAAUACAGGAGUGGCGAAAGGGUGAGGAACGCGUGAGUAACUUGCCUCCAAGUUGGGAAUAACUCCGGGAAACUGGAGCUAAUACCGAAUGUGGCCCGCUGACGCAUGUUGGCGACGCUAAAGAUUUAUCGCUUGGAGAUAGGCUCGCGUACCAUUAGCUAGUUGGUGAGGUAAUAGCUUACCAAGGCAAUGAUGGUUAGCUGGUCUGAGAGGAUGACCAGCCACACUGGGACUGAGACACUGCCCAGACUCCUACGGGAGGCUGCAGUCGAGAAUUUUGGGCAAUGGGCGAAAGCCUGACCCAGCAAUGCCGCGUGCAGGAUGAAGGCCCUCGGGUUGUAAACUGCUGUCACCGGGGACGAAAAACGACGGUACCCGGAGAGGAAGCCACGGCUAACUACGUG